AGAAAAUCAGUGAAUGAAAAUUUUCGUAUUUGAGUGAUGAUAGAAAGUUUUAAUUCAAGUACUUUUUACAGGAAAAUGAGACAAGGGAUUAAAAUGGAAAAGGAAAAAAAAUUAAGGGUGUAAAUGUGGAUUUAUAUUUCAGAAUUGUCUUAACAAUCUGUGCUUCAAAUUGACAGUUGUGUUUAACCGAUUUUAUUAGAUUUUCCUUUUGCAAUAACUUUUGGUGGACGCAAAAGCAACAAAGUUAAGUAUUCCUCAAAGCAGUAAAGGCAGAAUUAUGCCACAAUUAUUAAUAUUCUGUGCAGAGUGCGUAGUUGCGGAUGUGAUAUUCUUUUGUAUAGUCCCUUUCUGUCGUGUUUUUAAACUAUGUCCGGUUUCCUGUUUUUGGCUUGGUGGUGGCUUAACCAUUCUGCUUGCUUCCUAUAUAAGUGAAGUUGUAGUUCUUUUGUCCUUAUUAUGUUGGUGUGUUGUGCCGCAAAUUCUGACCAAAUUAUUGUAAACCAUAAAUUGAAGAGAAUAAAAAUUAAAUAAAGAAAUGUCUCUCUCCAAUGUCACUUGAUAUUUUCCUUGCUUUCACUCAUCCUAUUUUUGUGGAUAUUCUUGAGUUCUUAAAUAAAAAAUAUAUGGAGUUUCUCAUCUGGAUAUGCACUCUGCAAAAGUAAACAAUCUUAGAGAGUGGAAAAACCUCAGUGGGAGGAUUGUGAACAUAAUGGUUAAGCUGGGGAUUGGUUGCAAUGAUUUUGUUUCUUUCUAAUUUAUCCAAGUUCAAAAGUCGUGUUGAUCUAGAUAUGUUAUCAAGCAAAACCUACCUUGUGGAACCAUUUGUACAUUGUUCUUAAUGGUUAUAGUUUAAUGGCUGGCAUAAUAUUCACCUAUUAGGGAUGUUCCAUCAUUUAUCUUAGCUGGUACAUGUUAUUUCGCUUUCCAUAGUUAAAGGUGAAUGACUGAUUGAAAUUAAUUAAACGGCCUCCUCAAUCCAAUCCCAGUAUCUUGAUUUUAAUAUUGUAUAGGUUGGU
rnacentral:misc_RNA from 1 species